rnacentral:rRNA from 1 species
GAUGAACGCUGGCGGCGUGCUUAACACGUGCAAGUCGAACGGCAAGGCCUCUGCUUGCAGGGGUACUCGAGUGGCGAACGGGUGAGUAACACGGGGGUGAUCUGCCCUGCACUUCGGGAUAAGCCUGGGAAACUGGGUUUAAUACCGGAUAGGACAAUGGUUUGGAUUCUGGUGUGGAAAGCUUUUCGGUUUGGGAUGAGCUCGUGUCCUAUCAGCGAGUUGGUGGGGUAAUGGCCUACCAAGGCGACGACGGGUAGCCGGCCGGAGAGGAUGUACGGCCACACGGGAACUGAGACAAGGUCCAGAUUCCUACGGGAGGCAGCAGUGGGGAAUAUUGGACAAUGUGCGCAAGCCUGAUCCAGCCAUACCGCGUGGGUGAAGAAGGCCUUCGGGUUGUAAAGCCCUUUUGGUGGGAAAGAAAAGCAGCAGGUGAAUACCCCGCUGUUCUGACGUUACCCAAAGAAUAAGCACCGGCUAACUUCGUG